AUUGAACGCUGGCGGCAGGCCUAACACAUGCAAGUCGAACGAGUGGCGGACGGGUGAGUAAUGUCUGGGAAACUGCCCGAUGGAGGGGGAUAACUACUGGAAACGGUAGCUAAUACCGCAUACCAUCGGAUGUGCCCAGAUGGGAUUAGCUUGUAGGUGAGGUAACGGCUCACCUAGGCGACGAUCCCUAGCUGGUCUGAGAGGAGGACCAGACACAUUGGAACUGAGACACGGUCCAGACGCCGACGGGAGGCAGCAGUGGGGAAUAGUGCACAAUGGGCGGAAGUCUGAUGCAGCCAGGCGGAGUGUAUGAAGAAGGCCUUCGGGGUGUAAAGUACUUUCAGCGGGGAGGCGAUACCCGCAGAAGAAGCACCGGCUAACUCCGUGCCAGCAGCCGCGGUAAUAC
rnacentral:rRNA from 1 species